rnacentral:rRNA from 1 species
AGAGCGAACGCUGGCGGCAGGCUUAACACAUGCAAGUCGAGCGGGCGUAGCAAUACGUCAGCGGCAGACGGGUGAGUAACGCGUGGGAACGUACCUUUUGGUUCGGAACAACACAGGGAAACUUGUGCUAAUACCGGAUAAGCCCUUACGGGGAAAGAUUUAUCGCCGAAAGAUCGGCCCGCGUCUGAUUAGCUAGUUGGUGAGGUAACGGCUCACCAAGGCGACGAUCAGUAGCUGGUCUGAGAGGAUGAUCAGCCACAUUGGGACUGAGACACGGCCCAAACUCCUACGGGAGGCAGCAGUGGGGAAUAUUGGACAAUGGGCGCAAGCCUGAUCCAGCCAUGCCGCGUGAGUGAUGAAGGCCCUAGGGUUGUAAAGCUCUUUUGUGCGGGAAGAUAAUGACGGUACCGCAAGAAUAACGCCCCGGCUAACUUCGCGCCAGCAGCCGC